rnacentral:rRNA from 1 species
GACGAACGCUGGCGGCGUGCUUAACACAUGCAAGUCGAACAGAAAGGCCCCUUUAGGGGUACUCGAGUGGCGCACGGGUGAGUAACACGUGAGUAACCUGCCCUUGACUUCGUGAUAACUUCAGUAAACUGGGGCUACUACCGGAUAGGAAUCCUUGCUGCAUGGUGGGGGUUGGAAAGCUUCUGCGGUGUUGGAUGGACUCGCGGCUUAUCAGCUUGUUGGUGGGGUAGUGGCUUACCAAGGCUUUGAGGGGUAGCCGGCCUGCGAGGGCGAGCGGCCACAUUGGGACUGAGAUACGGCCCAGACGCCGAAGGGAGGCAGCAGUGGGGAAUAUUGCACAAUGGGCGGAAGCCUGAUGCAGCAGCGCCGCGGGUGGGAUGACGGUUUUCGGGUUGUAAAACGGUUUCAGCAGGGGCGAAGCUUGUGGUGACGGUACCUGCAGAAGAAGCACCGGCUAACUACGUG